rnacentral:sRNA from 1 species
AUAUUCCCACCACAGCUGGUUUCAAGCUACCCAUCUGGCCAGUGAGUGAUGCAACGUUAGCUCUCGUGAGCCAGCACAACUCACUCCAGCACACCACUGGGUCAGGCCGUGGAAGAUAGAAGCAAGAAGGACUGAAGAGCAUUCCAUGGCUUUGCUCUGAGCACCUGGGUAGAUGGGGAUGCCGUCUACUGAGGAUCAUCCAUGAAGAUGGCUUCUCCGGAGAAGACGUGAAACAGUACAAGCCUGUUGUCUACAGCAACACCAUCCAGUCCCUGGCAGCCAUCGUCCGGGCCAUGGACACUUUGGGCAUCGAAUAUGGUGAUAAGGAGAGAAAGGCUGACGCCAAGAUGGUGUGUGAUGUGGUGAGUCGGAUGGAAGACACCGAGCCCUUCUCUGCAGAGCUGCUUUCUGCCAUGAUGCGGCUCUGGGGCGACUCAGGAAUCCAAGAGUGCUUCAACCGGUCCCGGGAGUAUCAGCUCAACGACUCUGCCAAAUACUACCUGGACAGCCUGGAUCGGAUUGGGGCCGCCGACUACCAGCCCA